rnacentral:tRNA from 1 species
AGCAGGGUAGAUCAGUGGUAGAUCGCCGGGCUCAUAACCCGGAGGCCGCCGGUUCGAAUCCGGCCCCUGCGUCCA